ensembl:lncRNA
CAUGCUCAGAAGGUGGUGAAAGAUCAAAAACUGGAGACCUUUAAGGAAAGCAUUUGAAGGACUUGGGAGGGUCUUGUUGGGAGAAGAGGGAAGAGGAGGCGUAGCAGCUGUCUGCAAUAUUGGAAAGGCUGCCUUAAGUUGGGGGAGCAGACUUGGGAUGCUAUAAGUGGCAGACUCAGCUUAACAGGUGGAGGUUAUAAGGAAGUUGAUUUUGACUCAGCAGAAAGACAAGACUGUUUCCAUAAAAGCUAUUCCUCAAUGUAACAGGCUGCCUGGGAGGUAGUGAGUCCCUACUCUUGAAGACCGUCUGAGGCCAGCAGCAUUGGCUCCCCCUGGAAGCUGGAGAGAAAGGCAAAUUUUCUGGCCCUCAUCCCAGACCAUCCUAUUGGAAUCUGCAAUUUCACAAGAUCCCCAGGUGAUUCAUAUGCACGCUAAGGUCUCAUCCACACUGAAGACAGAAACAGUCUUUGCAUUAGAUAAGCAGAAGUUAUCAGAGGUUCUUUCCACUGACUGGUGGCCAUAUUGCGUUACUGGGUUGGUUACUCAAAUCUACAUUUUGGGGGUCCCAUCAAUCCUGAGCUCCGUGUCGUAAUGGGAAUUUCUUACAUUUAUUUUUCCAACUAUAUAUUUAUACACCAGCCUAGUCUUUAAAAAAAGAUUUCAAGUGACUUUCAGGUAAAAUAUGUGAACAGAUAAAUAUCAGGACCAGGGAAAAGGGAGCUUGAAGGUAGAUCUUAACCAGGGAGGAAAAAUAAUAAUAAGUGAAGACAGGUCAAGCGCAACUACCUGAGUGGAGAACUGGAUGAUGAGCUUGCCAGCGGAAGAAAACAGUCAGCUGCAAGAUUAUCUGCAGAGCGCCAACAAGCUGGUCCCUCAGAUGGAGCAAAGCUUUCCCUGGUAUUUUGUGAUGCAAGAUACCCACGUUUAUGAAGGUUGUCCCUGGAUCUGUUUUCCAUGGUUCCUGCCCUUUGAUUUUAUGCUUCUUAUCAAGGAUGGCCCCACCUACCACGCCCAUAAUUCCUCAACAGAUAUUAAAGGCUCAAGCAAAUGUCUCAUGGAAAGAGGCCAGGACCCUUCACGGCACCAAUUGCCUCACUGGGUUGCCAAAUGCAAGUACCUCAGGGAUGGGGAAAGCACAGUAAAGAAUCCACCUGCAAGGAAGGAGACAAAGGAGAUGUGAGUUCUAUCCCUGGAAUUGGAAAGAUCCCCCGGAGGAGGAAAUGGCAGCCCACUCCAGUGUUCUUGCCUGAAAAAUUCAUGGACAGAGGAGCCUGAUGGGCUACAGUCCAUGGGGUCGCAGAGAGUUGAACACAACUAAGCAAGAGAGAAAGCUAAUUGUAAAUGUGUUAGUUUCAAGUGUACAGCAAAGUGAUUCAGUUAUAUAUACAUAUUUAUAUGUUCUUUUUCAGAUUCUUUUCAUGUAUAGGUUGUUACAAGAUUUUUUUAACAUUCAAAAUUUUGUGCUACUUCUGUUCAUGUUCCCACUGUUUUCUUCUUAACCCACAUGCCAGCUAUGCCUCAUUUAGCCAGGCCAAGAACAUGCAUAUUAUCCUGUGGUGGCACAGCCCUCUGUCAGAGGUGCCUGCAAAAGAUGCAAGCAAAGAGAAUGGGAAAAAGGAUCAGGCAUAUCAACCUGUGUUUUUGUCUAGAACACAGACUACAGAGGAAGUACAUAUUUAAUAAAUGAAUUCUG